rnacentral:rRNA from 1 species
AUAUCUAGAGUUUGAUCCUGGCUCAGGACGAACGCUGGCGGCGUGCCUAAUACAUGCAAGUUGAGCGAACCAAUUGAAAGCCUAGCUUUCAUGAGGUUAGCGGCGGACGGGUGAGUAACACGUGGGUAACCUGCCCUAUAGACUGGGAUAACUCGCGGAAACGCGUGCUAAUACCGGAUAACACAUCAAAGUGCAUGCUUUGAUGUUGAAAGAUGGCUCCGCUAUCACUAUAGGAUGGGCCCGCGGCGCAUUAGCUUGUUGGUGGGGUAACGGCCUACCAAGGCGACGAUGCGUAGCCGACCUGAGAGGGUGAUCGGCCACACUGGGACUGAGACACGGCCCAGACUCCUACGGGAGGCAGCAGUAGGGAAUCUUCCACAAUGGGCGAAAGCCUGAUGGAGCAACGCCGCGUGAGCGAAGAAGGUCUUCGGAUCGUAAAGCUCUGUUGUAAGGGAAGAAUAAGUGCAGUAGUAACUGGCUGCACCUUGACGGUACCUUACUAGAAAGCCACGGCUAACUACGUGCCAGCAGCCGCGGUAAUACGUAGGUGGCAAGCGUUGUCCGGAAUUAUUGGGCGUAAAGCGCGCGCAGGCGGUUUCUUAAGUCUGAUGUGAAAGCCCCCGGCUUAACCGGGGAGGGUCAUUGGAAACUGGGAGACUUGAGUGCAGGAGAGGAAGCGGAAUUCCAUGUGUAGCGGUGAAAUGCGUAGAGAUAUGGAGGAACACCCAGUGGCGAAGCGGCUUUCCUGGCCCUGUAACUGACGCUGAGGCGCAAAAGCGUGGGGACAAACACGGAUUAAGAUACUCUGGUAGUCCACGCCG